AAUAAGUGUAGUUUUACACUGUUCAUGUCAAAUGUUCGAUUGUUCGUCUUAUUUAAAAUUUUUUUAUGAUUAGUAUUUUUAUUGUUAUUAUAUGAUAAAAACAUGAAUAUUACUUUAUGUGUCUAACUUUUUUAUUUUUUUUCAUUAAUUUCUCAAAUAAGACGGACGGUCAACGAAGGGACGGAGGUC
rnacentral:pre_miRNA from 1 species